GAUGAACGCUGGCGGCGUGCCUAAUACAUGCAAGUCGAGCGAACAGACGAGGAGCUUGCUCCUCUGACGUUAGCGGUGGACGGGAGAGUAACACGUGGAUAACCUACCUAUAAGACUGGGAUAACUUCGGGAAACCGGAGCUAAUACCGGAUAACAUGUUGAACCGCAUGGUUCAACAGUGAAAGACGGUCUUGCUGUCACUUAUAGAUGGAUCCGCGCCGCAUUAGCUAGUUGGUAAGGUAACGGCUUACCAAGGCAACGAUGCGUAGCCGACCUGAGAGGGUGAUCGGCCACACUGGAACUGAGACACGGUCCAGACUCCUACGGGAGGCAGCAGUAGGGAAUCUUCCGCAAUGGGCGAAAGCCUGACGGAGCAACGCCGCGUGAGUGAAGAAGGUCUUCGGAUCGUAAAACUCUGUUAUUAGGGAAGAACAAAUGUGUAAGUAACUAUGCACGUCUUGACGGUACCUAAUCAGAAAGCCACGGCUAACUACGUGCCAGCAGCCGCCGUAA
rnacentral:rRNA from 1 species